rnacentral:rRNA from 1 species
AGGACGAACGCUGGCGGCGCGCUUAACACAUGCAAGUCGAACGUGAAGCUGGAGCUUGCUCCGGUGGAAAGUGGCGAACGGGUGCGUAACACGUGAGCAACCUGCCCCGAAGACUGGGAUAACACCGGGAAACCGGUGCUAAUACCGGAUACCUUCUUCCGAUCGCAUGGUCGGAUGAAGAAAUGGAUUCCGCUUCGGGAUGGGCUCGCGGCCUAUCAGCUUGUGGUGAGGUAACGGCCCACCAAGGCGACGACGGGUAGCUGGUCUGAGAGGACGACCAGCCACACUGGGACUGAGACACGGCCCAGACUCCUACGGAGGCAGCAGUGGGAAUCUGCUCAAUGGGCAAAGCCUGAAGCAGCGACGCCGCGUGCGGGAUGAAGGCCCUCGGGUUGUAAACCGCUUUCAGCAGGGACAAAUUGACGUACCUGCAGAAGAAAGCCGGCAAUACGUGCCAGCAGUCCGC